rnacentral:rRNA from 1 species
CAAAACGACUCUCGGCAACGGAUAUCUCGGCUCUCGCAUCGAUGAAGAACGUAGCGAAAUGCGAUACUUGGUGUGAAUUGCAGAAUCCAGCGAACCAUCGAGUCUUUGAACGCAAGUUGCGCCUGAAGCCUUCGGGCUAAGGGCACGUCUGCYUGGG